CAGACAGAGACAGACAGAGAGACAGAGACAGACAGAGACAGACAGAGACAGACAGAGACACAGGUUAGGUUCCUCAGUCUGAACGCAGCUCGGCUCCCAGACGCAGAAUCUGAUUCAGUUUUUCUCAAACUUUUCCAGGCUGAAAAACUGAAACCAUUCAGUGAACAAACUCCAAGAACAUCAUCUUAAUAUUUACGACCCGAGAUGAAAACAGUCUCUUCAGUCUCUCCUGCGAUGGAAACACAGGAAUCGUUUUCCUUUAGCUCUGAGUUAUUAAUGAAAACAAGACAUUUUAUUGAUAUCUGUCAUUAGGAGCAUAACACAGGAACAACAGGCUGGAGUCGAUUUGGCAGAAACCCGUCAGGCUGAUGUAAAUACUUUAUUUUAGGCGUUGUGAUGCAGUUAAUCAGCGCGGGGCGCAGCGCUGCUCAGCCGGUCAGACAGCUAAAUCUGCAUGCGCAUCGUGAUGAAACACAAACUACUCCAUCAGACCGCCGACCAUAAAGUGAGCGUGGUUUUCUUUCCUCAUCUUCAGCUGAUUUUAAGCCAUUUAUCCGUUAAUAUUUAAACAAUCCCAGCUGUAUGUGUGAUACUUAUCGGCAAACAAACAGUUAUGAAUUUAUCUCCACUGCUCAUGAACGGAGAGAUUGAAGUUCUUGAAGUCUGACAGCUGCUGAUCCGCUGGACGGAGCAGCUCUGGCCACGAACCGCCGGCUUGUUGCCCAAACUUUCUGCUCAGAUGCAGUUUAUCGCUUCUUCGCCUGAUAACAGCCUGAAGUCGUGACACGGCAGCCAGAAGCAUCGACUAAAAUCUGCUUCCCUCCGUAAAUAACGGCCGAGUUCUGGAAGCUGCAGCUUCUGGGGCUUUUCAGUGGGAGGAAGAUGGAUCAGCUUCCUCCACAGCAGAAGCAAAUUAACGGCGUUACUUUAGCGCCUCCACACAAAGAUAACAUCCAGAGGAUCAGGCGGAGAAACAGGCGGAGGAUCAGGUGGAGGAUCAGGUGGAGAAACAGGUGGAGGAUCAGGUGGAGAAACAAGUGGAGAAACAUCCAGAGGAUCAGGUGGAGAAACAGGUGGAGGAUCAGGUGGAGGAACAUCCAGAGGAUCAGGUGGAGGAUCAGGUGGAGAAACAGGUGGAGGAUCAGGUGGAGAAACAAGUGGAGGAACAGGUGGAGAAACAUCCAGAGGAUCAGGCGGAGAAACAGGCGGAGGAUCGGGUGGAUUUCAUCCGAACCUCCACCUGAACGUCCCCCGAUCAGGUGGAGGUUCAGGUGGAUGAAAUCCGGGCGCUCCGAGGAGCUCCGGUCAUCCUACUGACGUCUCUUCAGGAGACGCGUUAACAGGAGACGAGAACGUCCAGACGGAGCGAGACGUGAACUCUGGACGGUCUAAACAAAGCAAAGGGAAGCAACCUGGUCACAUGACGUUAAAGACGUGGAGCUGAUUUACAUCACCAGGUAAAUAUGAGUAUUAAAACAUGAUGAGUUAUCGUGGGAUCAAACACAGAGAACCUUAAAAUAAUCCAGGAUGAUUUUUAGGGCUGAAACUCACUUUAGGUAUCGAUUAAUCUAUUAUUCUGACGAUUAAUCGAUUAAUCAAAGUGAUUUACAGACAAAGAAGGUUUCUUAAUCUUAAAUACAAAAUGUUUAUUUUUUUGUACAGUUUUGUCUGAAAUACUGGUGGGUGAGUUAUUCUUUCAGCAAAUGGCCUUAAGUCUGUAUGCUCCAGUUAACGAUUAAUCACGAUGAAUCCGAUUAAUCGUUUCAGCUCUAGUGUCCAACAGAGUGUAGCUGGAUUUCUUCUUGUUCAGCUCAAACGCAAAGAAUGAAACUCAUUUUCUACCCAAACAGAGCAGCAAAAAUAAAAGCGAUGCAAACUGGCAGCCGCUACUUCCCCUCCCGUUUCCACGCAGACGGAUUGAUGGAGUCGGCUAAAUGCUUCAGGUAAUGAAAAACAAACAGGAGCAGAAAACGGUAGGCGAGGAACGGAGGAGGGACGGAUCCUCGCAGCUGUUCUGGGCGAUGUGAGAAGAAGCAAACAGCUGGUCUGAAACAGCAACUAAGUGGGCCAGAAAGCAGCAGCUGCAUGCGGAGUCCCUCAGGGCGGCGAAGGGACAAGAAAUGCAAACCUGAAGCCAAAGACGAGAAAAUCUGAGAAUCUUUAAACAAGAAGCAGAACCGGGCAGAUUGAGGAGGAACGGCGAGUUCUUGGUGAAAUCCCUGCUGCGUCGUUUUCUCCACCUGACGUUCUGUCCUGCACGCGAUCGGUAGUAAUCAAUUAAUAUAUCGAUUAAUCAAUUAUUCGGACAAAAAAACCCGUCAUUCUGCAGAAGUUUCAUUUAACCAGCUGGCCUUUUAUCCAAAGUUAGAAAUACAUUAAAAUAUGCAAACAAACAAAAUGUAAUUCCUUUUCCAAAUAAACGUUUUAUUGUGUAAAAGUCCCAACAUGAGGAAAACCUUUCUGCUCCUCUGGAUCUGGAUUAUUGAUUAACUGAUUAACAAAAGGUGAUCAGAGGAGAUUUUUACAGAACCAGGUGAGGAUAAAUCUGCCACUGGAGACGUUCUGGUAGAUUUUCAGAUGAAGAACAUUUUAUUUAUGCAAAAUGGAAAAUGUUUGCCUUUUUGUACAGUUUUUGCUUCUUUACUCUGCUGCUCUUUCACCAAAUGGACAUUUUUCAAUAACUGAUUAAUCGCGAUUAAUCGUUACAGCCCUGGCUUAAAUGAACUGAUUCCUGUCCAACCGAGGUUAAAGGUCACAUUAUUCCACUUCCACUGCAUAAAAAACAUUUAAAUAUAAACAUCUUCUAAAAUCAAUCAGUUACUAAAAACGUUUUUUCAGUGUUAAAAUCUGAAACGGCCCAGUAAAACUCGACGUCGCUGUCCCUCGUCCCAGACGGGUUUGUCCCUCAGGGGCUCCCUUCACCGCCAGUUCCUCCAGGGAAAUCUGACCUACCGGGACAUUCAGCUGGAAACUGGAGAAUUUCUCCCCCUAAAUGGGUCAAAUGUUCAGAGCAGAACCGUUCAGAGCCACCGCGGCGGCCCGGUUCUGAGCGGCCCGAUGCUUCCUGCUGUCAGUUCGCUCGGUGAGACGGUGAAAGCCCCGGGAACAAACGGGCAGCUGUGGAAUCCAGCGGGGAGCGACGAGCUGCUGGUUUACCAGGAUAACUCGCCUGCAGGUUUAUUUUACUCUGCCCAGAGUUACGGGAGAAACUCUCCAUCCAUCCCCGCCUGCCGGUUUCUGCUCCCUGAAACCAGGAAACAGACCGAAACCCUGCAGACGCGUCUGCAGACAGCAGAGAAAGGAAGAUUUUCACUGGAGGAAACUGUAACCCGUUUGUUUCACCACGAGGAAUUAAAGCAACAAACAUUUAAAUCAGCAGAGGAUGUGGAGCAACACGAGAGGACGAGGUGACAGAACCAGAGCAAAAAUCAGAACACGGCCCAAACGAUUAAUCGGAUUCAUCGCGAUUAAUCGAUUACUCAAAUAAUCAUCAACUAAUUUAGGGAUCAAUAUAAGUGCAGAGGGAGGGAGCAACAUAUUCAGAGCAGUAAUUAGGAAAAAACGGCACAAAAACAUCAACAUUUUUAAACCCAGAACUCUUCGAUCGAUAGUUUCAGCUUCAUCUGGUUCAAAUCCAGAAAAAAACUCUUUAAGCAUCUUUUUGCACCCAAUUAUUAAUCCGUUAAUCUAAAAAUAAUCCCCAGAUCAGUUCUAAUCUGUACUGAUGUCCAGUCCAGCAGGAAGGCCUGAGCUUUUCUCAUGUCGCUUUAUCUGCAGAAUCGCUACAAAUGAACAAGAUGUCAGUGACUUCCAGGCAACAAUAUCCUCAUUUCCCUUUCAAAAAUCAUGAAUUAUGCUAAUUUGCAUUUUUAAUGUGUUUCUAAUUUUGUAUAAAAAAGGUUUAUUUAAAAAAAUCAGGAAAAUCAGCCAAUAUUUGAUCUGAUUAAUCAUCAGAAUAAUCGAUUAAUCGUCAACUAAAAUCAUCCUUAGUUGCAGCAGUUGAGCUUUUACAGUGUUAGUGACAUGAGGCUGAAUCCAGAAGCUUCUCCGCUGAAUGAUGGGCGAUGAUGACAUCAGCGCCUCUGGUGCUGCUCGGCCCAUUAGCGGCGGCGCCACCGAGCCGCGGUUCUGGACAAACAAACCUCGGCUCUGCAGCGAAGCAGCGCUGCUCAAUAAAACAUGCGCAACAAAAAAACACAACUCAUGUGCAACCGGCGUGAAACCCGAUGACAUCACUCCUUCAGCCCGACGUUCCAACAUCUGAUCCGUUACGAACGUCCUGGUUGAAUCCUCCAAACUCAGCAAACGGAUCAGAAACACCAAACGGAUCAGAAACACCAAACGGAUCAGAAACACCAAACGGAUCAGAAACACCAAACGGAUCAGAAACACNCAAACGGAUCAGAAACACCAAACGGAUCAGAAACACCAAACGGAUCAGAAACACCAAACGGAUCAGAAACACCAAACGGAUCAGAAACACAGGCCGUCGUGAAAACGGACCAAGUCCUGCAGGUAAAGCAACUAAAAUUAAAAAUUAAAUCGAGUUUCUGAUCUGAGCUCAACGUGAAAAUCAUUCAGGAAAAAUCAUUUCAUCUGUUAUUAAACAUGCCUGAUAAGUUCCACCUUUCAAACU